rnacentral:misc_RNA from 1 species
GAUGAAGAACGCAGCGAAAUGCGAUACUUGGUGUGAAUUGCAGAAUCCCGUGAACCAUCGAGUCUUUGAACGCAAGUUGCGCCCGAAGCCAUCAGGUUGAGGGCACGUCUGCCUGGGCGUCACAUAUCGUUGCCCAAUGCCUAUUGCAGUGCAAUAGGAAUUUCUAGGGCGAAUGAUGGCUUCCCGUGAGCGUUGUUGCCUCGCGGUUGGUUGAAAAUCGAGCCCUUGGUAGGGUGUGCCAUGGUAGAUGGUGGUCGAGUUAGAACGAUACCGAUCAUGUGCAUGCUCCCCAAAAUAUGGCCUCUAUGACCCACACGCGUCUUUUGACGCUCAUGACGAGACCUCAGGUCAGGCGGGGCUACCCGCUGAAUUUAAGCAUAUCAAUAAGCGGAGGA